AAGUGCAAACACUUGGAUAGAAGAGAGAGCGAAUUAGAGGCGACCAUCCCCUUUCUCUGCAAGAGAAGUUCACUCAGUGCACUUUACCGUCAAGUUGGUGCACCACACAUCCGCAUCGAAUGGAAGAUUCAAGGUCUAGAACUAUUCCUUCAUAUCAUUCUUUGGGAAGUGCUUGAUACUCCUCUUUUGAGAACCUCAUCUCAAGUGAAUUUCAGCCAACCUAGCAGCAGCACUCAACCUUCUCAUGCCCUUGUGCCAUCCAAUACAUACUUAGAAAACCCUUAUCCUAUGGCUAAACAUGUUGGUGUUGAUGAGCAAGGCAUGUACUUAGAUGAUGGUGAUGAGCAUGUUGUCAUGCUGAGAAAACUAGACUUCAAGGGGUUGUCAGUGAAGAAUCCAAGUAUGAAUCUUAGGAUGGACGUACAUGAGGAUAAAUCUCAGGAUGGACUUGAGGAUGAAUCUCAGGAUGAUUGUGUGGAUGAAUCGAUGGUAUCAGAUGGAAUACCAUAA
rnacentral:lncRNA from 1 species